rnacentral:rRNA from 1 species
GGGACUUUGGGAUUUAGUGGGAUCUUGUACUAGACCUCCCACCCUGUGUUGUUAUACCUUCGUUGCUUUGGCGGGCCGCGGGGCUCCGGCCCUGCCCCUGGCUCCGGCUAGGGCGCGCCCGCCAGAGGACCCUAAAACCUGAGCGUUAGUGUCGUCUGAGUACUAUCUAAUAGUUAAAACUUUCAACAACGGAUCUCUUGGUUCUGGCAUCGAUGAAGAACGCAGCGAAAUGCGAUAAGUAAUGUGAAUUGCAGAAUUCAGUGAAUCAUCGAAUCUUUGAACGCACAUUGCGCCCCUUGGUAUUCCGGGGGGCAUGCCUGUUCGAGCGUCAUUACAACCCUCAAGCUCUGCUUGGUCUUGGGCGUCACCGGUCCCCGGUGUGCCUUAAACUCAGUGGCGGCGCCAUCUGGCUCUAAGCGUAGUACAUACUCUCGCUACAGACGCCCGGUGGACGCUGGCCAGCAACCCCCAACUUACUAAGGUUGACCUCGGAUCAGGUAGGGAUACCCGCUGAACUUAAGCAUAUCAAUAAGCCGGAGGAAAUCAUUAAGGAGACUCUGCCCUUGGGUAAACCUCCCCCCGUGUUGUAAAACCUCCGUUGCUAUGGCGGGCGCAGGGCUCGGCAGCCCUGGUCCGCAUAAGGGGGCCGCCGAGGACCUAAAACUGAGCGUUAGUGUCUUCGAGUACUAUCUAAAAGUUAAAACUUUCACAACGUAUCUCUUG